UGAGCUUGAUCCUGGCUCAGAUUGAACGCUGGCGGCAGGCCUAACACAUGCAAGUCGAGCGGCAGCACGAGGAAGCUUGCUUUCUUGGUGGCGAGCGGCGGACGGGUGAGUAAUACAUGGGAAUCUGCCCGAUAGUGGGGGACAACGUUUCGAAAGGAACGCUAAUACCGCAUACGUCCUACGGGAGAAAGCAGGCUUAGGCUUGCGCUAUCGGAUGAGCCCAUGUCGGAUUAGCUUGUUGGUGAGGUAAUGGCUCACCAAGGCGACGAUCCGUAACUGGUCUGAGAGGAUGAUCAGUCACACCGGAACUGAGACACGGUCCGGACUCCUACGGGAGGCAGCAGUGGGGAAUAUUGGACAAUGGGGGCAACCCUGAUCCAGCCAUGCCGCGUGUGUGAAGAAGGCCUUCGGGUUGUAAAGCACUUUCAGCGAGGAGGAAAGCAGUAAGGUUAAUACCCUUAUUGUGUGACGUUACUCGCAGAAGAAGCACCGGCAAACUCCGUGCCAGCAGCC
rnacentral:rRNA from 1 species